rnacentral:lncRNA from 1 species
AGCCACCCUUGUAUCCCCUUCGUCUCUCAAAAUUCUCUCAACUACCUGUAAAACCCUAACCUCUUUCACCGGUCUCCGACCUUAUUUCACCGGAAACUAUGGCUUCUCAAAUCCUGAGUAGCCUGUACCUACCCCCAUAUACCUCUAUGCUCCUUUUGCUCGAGGUUUCAUAGUAUGAUCUUGAAGACCUUGACUCAGAAUCUUUUCGAUUCAAGUUCUAUGGCACUUUCCGGCUCAUCUUCGGCGAGUCCUAGCUCUGUGAGUCCAUCUCCGACUCACGACCAGCCUGUUCCAGG